GCAGUAGCCACGGGAAAACGGAGGGUGCAAGCGUUAUCCGGAUUUAUUGGGUUUAAAGGGUCCGUAGGCGGACUUAUAAGUCAGUGGUGAAAGCCUGUCGCUUAACGAUAGAACUGCCAUUGAUACUGUAAGUCUUGAGUAUAUUUGAGGUAGCUGGAAUAAGUAGUGUAGCGGUGAAAUGCAUAGAUAUUACUUAGAACACCAAUUGCGAAGGCAGGUUACCAAGAUAUAACUGACGCUGAGGGACGAAAGCGUGGGUAGCGAACAGGAUUAGAUACCCCGGUAGUCCCUGUCUCUUAUAC
rnacentral:rRNA from 1 species